UCCCUGGUGGUCCAGUGGCUGAGACUCUGCGCUCCCAAUGCUGGGGACCCAGGUUAGAUCCCUGGUCGGGGAA
rfam:TPA: Bos taurus chromosome 10, whole genome shotgun sequence.